UCAUUUUCGGGUUGCUCAACAUUCAUUUGGAAAGUUAUCCUGUUUCUAAAUUUUUAAACAACAUAAAAGAGCUUUUACCCUUUUACCCUUCCUAUUAAACAUUUGUUAUUAUUCCAUUUAACUAGCUAUUAACUUCAAUAAAUGUUUCUGGAAGGACCUGAUAAGAUAUGGUUAUGAAAUUUUUCCAGAAGCUUCACUAACGGAGGCUACUGUAAAUUUUCCAGAAUUUAUUGAGCGUGAAAACUAUUUAUCAUAUUUUUAGUGUAUUAAACCACAUGCAAAAUUUAAGCAAGGUAAAACAUGCAUAAAAAAUAAACCAGAAUUU
rnacentral:lncRNA from 1 species